UAACUUAAAGAAAGUACACUUUCAUCAUAAUAUUUAUAAACACACUUAAGUGCACUUUUAAUAAUGCACUUUGUAAUAAUAUCUAAUUAAUUUGAACUUAUAGUAAGUACACUUUCAUCACAAUAUUUCACUAACACACUUAAGGACACUUUUUAAAAAUGCACUUUGUAAUAAUAUCUAAAUAAUUUUAAAUUAUAGUAAGUACACUUUCAUCAUAAUAUUUAUAAACACACUUAAGUGCACUUUUAAAAAUGCACUUUGUAUUAAUGUCUAAUUAAGCUUAACUUAUAGUAAGUACACUUUCAUCACAAUAUUUCUUAACAUACUUAAGUACACUUUUUAAAAAUGCACUUUGUCUAAUUUAGUUUUACUUAAAUGUAACCCUGGUUAAAUAAUUAAAUAUUAUUAUUUUAAAAGUGUGCUUAGAUAUAAUAGAGACUAUUCAUACAUCUACAUUUAUUUUAUAAAUGAGGAAAUACAUGUGAAUAAUUUAAUCUGAAUUAUAAAUCUGAAAUGACUAAACCAAUCGGAGUGUUUAAUUGUAAGCUCCGCCCCUUUUUGCUUUCGGAUCGCGUCUCAGUUCACUUCAGAGGAGAGAUGCAGAGCGACAGAGACACUCGAUCUAACGCGAGAGUGUUUAAUUUGAUUAAAUAUGACUCCUAAGUUCAUAUAAACUGAAGAAAUCAGAAUUUAACUUGCAUAUAUUCAAUGAUACAGCGUGAUUGUGUGGAUUGAGCACUUUUUGAGCUUUCAUUUUGACCUGUGUGAUUAUGUAAAACCACAUGGUGCGUUGUGUUCACUGCUGUUCGCUGACGCCAUUUUGGUUGCACGUGCCUGUGAAAGACAAAAGGUGUGUUCGACUUCAUGCGGCGCUGCGCAGACCGAUCGGCGGCUGACUUAAAGCAGUGCAUUCCGGUUAGUAUUUUUGUCCGACUUCAGCUGCCGCUGCAGGCACGUGACUGUGUCAUAUGGUUUUUAAGUACCGCGAGAGCGGUUCGAGAUCAGCCGCCUGAGUUAGCCAGCGCAGUUCGCGAAGAGGAGCUGCACGGGCUGUAAUGACGACACAGCUGUUUCACGAUUGGUCGGAUUCACCACAUGACAACAAUCAAGUGUGUUUCGUGCUUAUUUUCACGCCCUCUCAGUUCCACAAAUGCUCACAAAUCUGUAUUUUUAUAACAGUUAAAGCUCUUUUCAUGUAGUCGCGAUGUUAUAUUGUGUCAUCUUCAUCAAAAUAAAAUGGAAAUAGAAAUGAAAAAACAUAGACCCCACUUCAUUGGUAUUUAAAUAAUUUAUGCUUAUUUUGAACUUUAUUCUUGUAAAAACAGAUGAUGUAAGCCUCUUCAGUUCCACUCAUGCUCAUACACGGACAUUCAAAACAAUAUAAAUCACUUUUUAUGUAGUUUACAUCUUACAAAUCAUGUUUAUUGCGAUAAAGCAAGCAAACGGCACGUGAUCAGCCAUGCCUGACGUAAAUGCCGCAAACUACGGGAAGCACAGCGCGUCCGACUUCACGUCUCCGUUUUCAGCUCCUCCCCACCUGCACGCGGCUAAUCUUGCCGAUCGAUUACAUCCAGCCGCAGCCGAUGUCGAACACACCUAAAAAGAGAGAGAAACAUGUGAAUGGACAGGUAUUUGUCUAAAUUGUCAUUUAUUAUGAUGAUGGCACUUUUGUAUGUAUUUUAUUUUUUCUGUAUUAUGUACAAUUGUUAAUCAUCAUUGAUACACAAUAUGGAAUGUUUUUUCCUUUCGUAUGAACAUUCCUUGAGCUGGAUUUUCCUAAUUGAUGGCGAGCCUCCCAUUUCGACCUGAUUGGACCACGAAUCUAGAGGAAAGGACAAUUUUCUAUUUUAAAUAUUUUUCUUCAGAAAAGUAAGAGGAUACAUUUCAGAAACUGUUUCCUUAUUUUGUUUGUUUACUUUAUUGAACUGAAACAUUUCAGAAGCACAAUUCUGAUAAUUUAAGACUGAUCAAUACUCCAAUUGAUAAGAACUUUGAACUUGAAUACUGAUUUCAGUGUGUUACAUAUAUAAUUUGUACCAUCCUUGUACAUUGAUUGUGACUGUGAUUUCUGUAAAUGAGAAGUAAUUUAGAGGGUGCACCCAUAGUAUAUAUAGUUAAUUGUAUUUUCAUUGUUGUUUACCAUUUUUUGUGAUUAAGGAAAGAUAAAGAAAAAGAAAGGUUUCUCAAUACUCAAAGUAAAAUAAUUUAUUAAUCAACUUA